rnacentral:rRNA from 1 species
UGGCCUCAAAUCAGGUAGGACUACCCGCUGAACUUAAGCAUAUCAAUAAGCG